GCAGAACGCGAAGAACCUUACCUACUCUUGACAUCCAGAGAACUUAGCAGAGAUGCUUUCGGUGCCUUCGGGAACUCCUGAGACAGGUCGCUGCAUGGCUGUCGUCAGCUCGUGUUGUGAAAUGUUGGGUUAAGUCCCGCAACGAGCGCAACCCUUAUCCUUUGUUGCCAGCGGUUAGGCCGGGGAACUCAAAGGAGACUGCCAGUGAUAAACUGGAGGAAGGUGGGGAUGACGUCAAGUCAUCAUGGCCCUUACGAGUAGGGCUACACACGUGCUACAAUGGCGCAUACAAAGAGAAGCGACCUCGCGAGAGCAAGCGGACCUCAUAAAGUGCGUCGUAGUCCGGAUUGGAGUCUGCAACUCGACUCCAUGAAGUCGGAAUCGCUAGUAAUCGUAGAUCAGAAUGCUAC
rnacentral:rRNA from 1 species